rnacentral:rRNA from 1 species
AACAUUUCUAGCUUGCUAGAAGAUGACGAGCGGCGGACGGGUGAGUAAUGCUUGGGAACAUGCCUUGAGGUGGGGGACAACAGUUGGAAACGACUGCUAAUACCGCAUAACGUCUACGGACCAAAGGAGGGGAUCUUCGGACCUUUCGCCUUUAGAUUGGCCCAAGUGAGAUUAGCUAGAUGGUAGGGUAAUGGCCUACCAUGGCGACGAUCUCUAGCUGGUUUGAGAGGAUGAUCAGCCACACUGGGACUGAGACACGGCCCAGACUCCUACGGGAGGCAGCAGUGGGGAAUAUUGCACAAUGGGGGAAACCCUGAUGCAGCCAUGCCGCGUGUGUGAAGAAGGCCUUCGGGUUGUAAAGCACUUUCAGUCGUGAGGAAAGGGUGUAAGUUAAUACCUUGCAUCUGUGACGUUAGCGACAGAAGAAGCACCGGCUAACUCCGUGCCAGCAGCCGCGGUAAUACGGAGGGUGCGAGCGUUAAUCGGAAUUACUGGGCGUAAAGCGUGCGUAGGCGGAUGAUUAAGCGAGAUGUGAAAUCCCGGGGCUCAACCUCGGAACUGCAUUUCGAACCGGUCAUCUAGAGUACUGUAGAGGGUGGUGGAAUUUCCAGUGUAGCGGUGAAACGCGUAGAGAUUGGAAGGAACAUCAGUGGCGAAGGCGGCCACCUGGACAGAUACUGACGCUGAGGCACGAAAGCGUGGGGAGCAAACAGGAUUAGAUACUCUGGUAGUCCACGCCGUAAACGAUGUCAACUAGCUGUUUAUGUCCUUGAGACGUGAGUAGCGUAGCUAACGCGCUAAGUUGACCGCCUGGGGAGUACGGCCGCAAGGUUAAAACUCAAAUGAAUUGACGGGGGCCCGCACAAGCGGUGGAGCAUGUGGUUUAAUUCGAUGCAACGCGAAGAACCUUACCAUCCCUUGACAUCCAGAGAAUAUUCUA